GACUAACGCUGGCGGCGUGCCUAACACAUGCAAGUCGAGCGGACACCAACUUGUAGCAAUACAGGUGAAGUGUUAGCGGCAGACGGGUGAGUAACACGUAGUCAACCUAUCUUUUCGUCCGGGAUAACUAGCCGAAAGGUUAGCUAAUACCUGAUGCGAUCAUCGAGUGGCAUCAUUUGAUGAUGAAAGCAGCAAUGCGCGGAUUGAGGGGGCUGCGGCCCAUUAGCUAGUUGGUGAGGUAAUGGCCCACCAAGGCAACGAUGGGUAGCUGGUCUGA
rnacentral:rRNA from 1 species